rnacentral:tRNA from 1 species
GAAAAGCGCUCUUAGUUCAGUUCGGUAGAACGCGGGUCUCCAAAACCCGAUGUCGUAGGUUCAAAUCCUGCAGAGCGUG